rnacentral:snoRNA from 1 species
AUCUCAUGACGAGGACAUUCUGCAAUGUAGUCUUGAAAGCAUUCCCAUACCUUGGGUAACGAUUCAUCUUGAUGUUGCUGAAAGCUUGAUAUUCUCCCACGUAGAGCA